GUCUCAGAAGGCAGGCAUCUAUUUACAGAGAAGAGAUUGGACUUUUGGGGAAAGCGCAAAGCUUCACUUUGUCAAAGUAAGCGUGAAGAAAAUUAAGUACAGAGCACAACUCCAUCAGGGGAACUUAAAAGAAGUUGAACAGUUGAACAAUGAGGAGAAAGAAGCAUCAAGUGCAAAAAAGAAGCGCCAAGCAAGUUGUUUAUUAAAUCCUCAACAUCUCCAAGAUAAUAUACACAAAAAGAUUAACAGGAAUUCAUUUGUCUACACUCACAGAAAGAGGUAAGAUUUUUUCCCUCCCUUUGUACAUCCGCACAGGCAUUCUGAGAAAUCCAAUGCAAGUUUUUACUUCCCCAA